AUUGAACGCUGGCGGCAGGCCUAACACAUGCAAGUCGAACGGUAACAGGAAGCAGUUUGCUGCUUCGCUGACGAGUGGCGGACGGGUGAGUAAUGUCUGGGAAGCUGCCUGAUGGAGGGGGAUAACUACUGGAAACGGUAGCUAAUACCGCAUAAUGUCGCAAGACCAAAGAGGGGGACCUUCGGGCCUCUUGCCAUCGGAUGUGCCCAGAUGGGAUUAGCUUGUUGGUGGGGUAACGGCUCACCAAGGCGACGAUCCCUAGCUGGUCUGAGAGGAUGACCAGCCACACUGGAACUGAGACACGGUCCAGACUCCUACGGGAGGCAGCAGUGGGGAAUAUUGCACAAUGGGCGCAAGCCUGAUGCAGCCAUGCCGCGUGUAUGAAGAAGGCCUUCGGGUUGUAAAGUACUUUCAGCGGGGAGGAAGGGAGUAAAGUUAAUACCUUUGCUCAUUGACGUUACCCGCAGAAGAAGCACCGGCUAACUCCGUG
rnacentral:rRNA from 1 species